UUUUUAGUGUAAGUAUGUCCCAGUCAAUAUUUGUGACAUACUUGUACUAAAA
rnacentral:pre_miRNA from 1 species